rnacentral:rRNA from 1 species
CCUACGGGAGGCAGCAGUGGGGAAUCUUGCACAAUGGGGGAAACCCUGAUGCAGCGAUGCCGCGUGAGUGAAGAAGGCCCUUGGGUUGUAAAACUCUUUCGUCGGGGAAGAAAAUGACUGUACCCGAAUAAGAAGGUCCGGCUAACUUCGUGCCAGCAGCCGCGGUAAUACGAAGGGACCUAGCGUAGUUCGGAAUUACUGGGCUUAAAGAGCUCGUAGGUGGUUAAAAAAGUUGAUGGUGAAAUCCCAAGGCUCAACCUUGGAACUGCCAUCAAAACUUUUUAGCUAGAGUGUGAUAGAGGUAAGUGGAAUUUCUAGUGUAGAGGUGAAAUUCGUAGAUAUUAGAAAGAACACCAAAUGCGAAGGCAACUUACUGGGUCACUACUGACACUGAGGAGCGAAAGCAUGGGUAGCGAAGAGGAUUAGAUACCCUUGUAGUC